AAGUGGAGGGUUGAAGUGUGUGCAGUCUGCCUUGGUCAGGUGAGUGGCUGGUCUCUGUGCUUCAGCAGUACAGCCUCUCCUAAAAAACAAAACCUAAGCUGCAACUGUAGUUCUUCUGGGCAAGCUGUUAAUUUGUUUUGGUUCUCAGCAACUGAAGAUUGAGAAGACCUGAAGCAAGAAGUUUACCACUGGUACCUGAGAUGGUGGCAUUCAGGCUGUAGGCAAAAGUUUUCAUCUGUCAGAUAUUUGAUGAAAUGGGAAGUACAGCUGGAUUCACAGCACCUCUCUCCUUUCAUCUGUUGCAGCUAAAUCAAGCUCAGGCUGAGAGUGGAGUUAGGAACAGUGCAGGGAGCGUGUUGGGGUUACUGACGUGAGAGGUGAGGGGACUGAUAACUGCAGUUCAUGGGACUUCCCUGGGGAGUCUCUCUGGAUGCCUGGUCCUGUACAACAUCAUUGCCUGUGUUCGAGACCUUGGCACCACACAGUGACUUAUUGAAGUGUUUCUUAUGUAAAUCUCUGCAUGCUGACAGGAGUGAUAAGUAUUUCAACUACUUUUUUUCCUUCUGUCCACAAAACAUGCUACAGCCAGAAGCCCUGAUCCUGAACGGUUAAUGGGGAUCUUAUUAGGAUUGGUGCCUAGUGGUCUGAGUGCCUACACUUCAGAAAAAUACUUCAGCUUUUCAGAGCUGCUGUUCCCCUCUUACAGGAGGAAUACUGUAGCAGCCAGAUACCAUUCACUGAAUACUAAUGCUUGGAAGAAAAAUAACUACCCUGAUUUUUGUUUCAUCCCACAGAAAAGUUGGAAAGAAUUUGAUUUCUAGGGAGGUGCCCUACAACACCAACUAGCUGUUCAGCUGGAGGAAUUCACUAUGUAAUUGUAAUUCUGUAGCCUAGAGUAAAUGUAAAAUGAUCUAUUGAACUUGUCUGAUUUGGAAAGCAUUUUUACUCCAGAAAGCCUCAUGCAUGGCUCUGGAGAUGAUGAUGUUUUGAGCAUGGAUGGCAGUUAUGGUUUAUAAAACUGAUCUUUACAACAGUGUUCUGUUCUUGUACAGAAUACCAGCAGUUAAAUACAGAACUUAUUUUCCUCCAGGUUAUGUAUAAUUUCACCCCUAGUUCAGUAUCCUUGUUGUAUCUGAAGUUAUUUACAGGCAACUUUAAGGAAAGAUAGCUAAAACACUAAGCAUAGUGCAAAUUGAACAAAUAUUAUAAUUUUAAAGGACUACAGAAGGCUUUUGAAAUAGCAAUAUGAUUUUUAAUUAAGGUAGAAACACUUUUAUGUAUGGUUGUCAUCUUAGUAACUCUUUGAAUUGCUUAGUAGUUAAUGCUGUAUAAACCAAAGCUACUAUCUGUUUUGGAAAACAAAACAAA